AAGCAUAUCAAUAAGCGGAGGAAAAGAAACUAACAAGGAUUCCCCUAGUAACUGCGAGUGAAGCGGGAAAAGCUCAAAUUUAAAAUCUGGCGGUCUUCGGCCGUCCGAGUUGUAAUCUGGAGAAGCGUUUUCCGCGCUGGACCGUGUACAAGUCUCUUGGAACAGAGCGUCAUAGAGGGUGAGAAUCCCGUCUUUGACACGGACUACCAGUGCUAUGUGAUGCGCUCUCGAUGAGUCGAGUUGUUUGGGAAUGCAGCUCAAAAUGGGUGGUAAAUUCCAUCUAAAGCUAAAUAUUGGCGAGAGACCGAUAGCGAACAAGUACCGUGAGGGAAAGAUGAAAAGCACUUUGGAAAGAGAGUUAAACAGUACGUGAAAUUGCUGAAAGGGAAACGAUUGAAGUCAGUCGCGUGUGCUAGAACUCAGCCUUGCUUUUGCUUGGUGCAUUUUCUAGUGUACGGGCCAGCAUCAGUUUUGGCCGCCGGAAAAAGGCCUUGGGAAUGUGGCACCUUCGGGUGUGUUAUAGCCCUUGGUUGUAUACGGUGGCUGGGACUGAGGAACAUAGCAUGCCUUUACGGCGGGGCUUCGGCCACCUUCAUGCUUGGAUGC
rnacentral:rRNA from 1 species